rnacentral:rRNA from 1 species
UAGGGAAUUUUGCACAAUGGACGAAAGUCUGAUGUAGCGACGCCGCGUGAGUGAUGAAGGCCUUCGGGUUGUAAAGCUCUGUUCUCAGGGAAUAAAAAAAUGAAGGUACCUGAGGAGAAAGGACCGGCUAACUUCGUGCCAGCAGCCGCGGUAAGACGAGGGGUCCAAGCGUUGUUCGGAAUCAUUGGGCGUAAAGCGGGUGUAGGUGGCUCUGUAAGUCAGGAGUGAAAGCCCCAGGCUUAACCUGGGAAGUGCUUUUGAUACUGCAGAGCUUGAAUGUGGGAGAGGAUGGUGGAAUUCCUGGUGUAGUGGUGAAAUACGUAGAUAUCAGGAGGAACUCCGGUGGCGAAGGCGGCCAUCUGGCCCAACAUUGACACUGAGACCCGAAAGCGUGGGGAUCAAACAG